AUUGAACGCUGGCGGCAGGCCUAACACAUGCAAGUCGAGCGAGCGGCGGACGGGUGUGUAAUGUGUGUGGAUCUGCCCGAUAGCGGGGGAUACCUACUGGAAACGGUUGCUAAUACCGCAUACUAUCGGAUGUACCCAUAUGGGAUUAGCUAGUAGGUGGGGUAAAGGCUCACCUAGCGGACGAUCUCUAGCUGGUCUGAGAGGAUGACCGGGCAAACUGGGAAUGAGGCACGGAGCAGACUCCGACGUGCGGCAGCAGGGGAGAAUAGUGCGCAAUGGGAGCAAGCCAGAUGCAGCCAUGCCGCGUGGAUGAAGAAGGCAUUAAGGUUGUAAAGUACUUAAAGCGUUGAGGCGUUACCCGCAGAAGAAGCACCGGCUAACGCCGUGCCAGCAGCCGCGGUAAUUC
rnacentral:rRNA from 1 species